rnacentral:lncRNA from 1 species
UCAGCGGUCUCCACGUAGUAGUAGGCACCCUCAGGGUAGUAGAAGUCGUCGUGGGGUCGUCUAGAUCCUGGGCUCCACCAUUUGGUUGCGACAUCCAAGAAGAAUGGAAAAGGGGGAAAAGAGGGAGCAAAGCAACCGUGAGUACUCAUCCAAAGUACUCGCAAGCAAGGAUCUACACUACUUAUGCAUCGGUAUCAAUGAAAGGGGUAGUAUCUCUGGACUAACUGCAGAAUGCCAGAAUAAGAGGGGGAGAAGCUAGUCCUAUCAAAGACUAGCAUCUUUUGGGAACCACCGUCUUGCAGCAAGAGGGAGUAGAGUAAUAUAACAGAAGUCAUAUAUAUGUUGUUGUCAACGCCCCGGGAUCCUUUCUCGACUCCCGGAGCCACAUAUCCAUUUCAUGCCUCAGCAUCCAAUUCUAGUUGUAUCGAUCGGGAUACAACUCCGAGUGUCCGUUACCGUAGGACAGGCUAUCGAUAGAUGUAUUCUUCCCUGCGGGGGUGCACUAACUUACCCACCACGCUCGAUUAACUCUGACCGAACACACUUUCCUGGGUCAUGCCCGGCCUCGGCCAAACAAUACGCCGCAACCCGACCUAGGCUUAAUAGAGAGGUCAGCACGCCGGACUAAACCUAUGCCCCCAGGGGUCAUGGGCCAUCGCCCCGGGAACUCCUGCAUGUUGCGAGGGUGGUCGGUGAGCAGACCUAGGUACCUCCUUAAAAAGGCAGGUGCUUACCAGUCCAACCCGGCAUGUGCCGCUUAGUCGCUGAUGUCUAUUAAGCGUUGGCUGAUGCAUACAACGCAGAACACCCAUACUAUGCCCACGAUAUGGUUAGUGCUAUCAGGUCAGAGGCCCCUCGGAUCAAAUAUCCAAAUCGUAGUGGAUUAAGAACGCGCGAUAACAAGUAGAGACUCAUGAAAUAUGUGACCCCAUCGCCCCAUCUCGAGGACUUGCGGCAAGGGCUAGGAAUGUCCGGCCACGUCUCGUAAUUAUCUCGCGGGCACCUUCCAGGUCAACCCGACUCCAAAUCACUCGCAAUUAAGCUCAUGCAGGUACCCCUCAGGGCCGACACGUCUUUAGUAACAUGGUUCAGUGUAAAGUCAUAGCAACCAUAGUAACUGUGUGUCUAAUGCCAAGGGGAACCCUGAGGAACCACCCUUGAUGGAUUUCACUCGAUGUAAUCAUCAAGGUGAACGUAAGAGGAACCACCCUCGAGGUUCACACUUGAGGGGUUGCAUGACAGAGUCAUAUCGGAAGUGGUUAAGGCGGAAUCACCCUCGAUGACCACGACCGAAUAGCUACACUAUAGGGUUAACAUCAGAAGUGUUGAUGAGGUCUCACCCUCGACACUCAAUAGUAACCCAGUAGUGUCGAGCAACUAAGGGGAAUGUGAUGUGGUGCCGGGGCCCGGUCUUCGAUCACAUUGAUCGAGUCGUCGAUGAUGAAGCAGGGGCAACAAGGACAAGGUGGGGGUCACUAAUGGAUCACUAACCAAACUAUACUAAGCAGUUUAGGAUAAGCAGGUAGGUAACAAUAAGCAGGUUACAAAAGCAGGCUAUGCAUCAGAAUAGGAGCAAUCAAUUACAGUAGCAAAAUCUAAUGCAAGCACGAGAGAAUGGAAUGGGCGAUAUCGGGAUGACCAAAGGAGGGGCUUGCCUGCUUGCUCUGGCAAGGAGGGGUCGUCAACACCGUAGUCGUACUCAUUGGCAUCAUCGCCGAUCUCGGGGUCUACCGGAGAAGAAGAGGGGGGAAAACAAUAAAUACGAAGAAAACAAAGCAUCACAAAAUAUAACAAGGCAAUAUGCGGAGCCAUGGGUGAUCUAACGCAGGGAUAGGUGAUACCGGCGAAGGGGGAAACACCCGGGAAAGUAUUCCCAGUGUUUCGUGUUUUUUGACAGACCGACCGGAGGGGAACGAUUGCAGGUUCUCUAUGUUAGGGACAUGUGGCGGACGAACCAACUGCGUAUUCGGAUUCGUCUCGUCGUUCUAAUCAACUUUCAUGUACAAAAUAUUUUCAUCCGAAUUAUGAAUUAUUUUAUAUGAUUUUCUAAAGUUUUAACAAUAUUUAAAAUUAUUAUAAUUAGUUUAAUCCGAAUUGACCAAGUCAACUUGACUAGUCAAAAGGGGAGGUGGUGGCCCACAUGUCACUAUUUUAGUAAUUUUAAAAAGGAUUUAUCUAAACUAAUUAGAUGGGACCCACUUGUCAUAUGCUAAUAGGCUAAAUGAGCACUAAACUAGUAAUACUAAGCUAAACCUAGCCUAAUUAAACAAGGGCCGGCCAUUACUGGACAUAGCCCAGCCAGCCACGCACACGGCCAUGUACAGGGGCUAGUAGCAGCGGCAAGCAGCUUCAAGAACAAGCAAUAGCACGUAUCGGCAGCAUCAGUACGCAGCGGCACCAGCAAGCAGAGCGGCGCGGCUGCUAGCAGUAGAGCAAAUCAGCGGCACCAGCUUGCAGUAGCAAGCAACAGCACCAGCGCGGCAACAAGAGCAGCAGCGUAAGAGAGUAGCAGCAGUGUAGAACAGCAAAGCAGCAUCAUUUAACCAGUGGGCAGUAGGAGCGGCAGCAGCACUAGUAGCAGCAGCGACAGCGCAGCAGAAAGCAGUGGCGGGAGCAGGGCGCAGCGGCGGCCGGCAGCAGCAAACGGACCAGCAACGCAGCAGCCGAGAGCGAGCAGCAGCAGCGUAGCAAGCAAUGCGGCCGUAGCAAACAUCAGCAGACACAACGGCACAGGAGCAGCAUAGCACGCACACACGCGUACGCGGAUGUUCGGGCUCGACGGAGAUGGCGGCCUACGGCGUCCAAAUCGAAGGGCUAAAAGAGGGACCCGAGGGAGAAGCUCACCCUUGUUCUCGUGGAAGAGGUUAGAAGGCCAGAGGCGGCGCGGAGCAGUGGCAACGACGACGAGUUGGUGAUGUCCGCGGCGGAGAAGGGCUCGAUGUCGAGCACUCGGACCAUCCCGGCUUGAGCUGGCCCCCGGAACGGACGGAUCCGGCCGCGGCGGACAUCCUGUACGUGCUCCCGCACACCGGAGACGAUGGUGGCCGCGACGAUGACGGCGAGGGCCGUCGGGCGCGAGUGGCAGAAGGAGAGGGGGCGCGAGGGGAUAGGGG